ACAACAACCAAAUCCACCCUGUACCACUAACAAAAUCUGCUGCAAUACAAAAAUCCACUUCUCUUCUCCUCUUAUUUUCUAAAAAUAAAAGUCCAGCUAGGUAGCUUCGAUGCAUCAUCAUCCUGCACAUUACCCAGAAUUCUCUGUGCUUUCAAACAGCUCUAAGGCAAAUAACAAAAUGGCGGACUUAAUGGAUGCUACGAUAGCCCUUUUAUUUAGCUAUUUGAAAAUUUCACCGAGUCUCCUUGUUGGAUUUAGAACUACCAGCGCCAGUGUACGUUAUCUGGAUUUACAGUACGUGCGAUCAGGAAAAAACGAGACCUAGCCACUGUAAGUUGUUGAUUGGUCAGGUUGCCUGACGCAACGGCAUGUGACGCAAAAUGAGCACUCCUCAUUGGCUGGACAGAUGGAUAAGAGGACGUAGGUGCGUGUAGUAAAGUCACUACCCGGAACUUGGAUUUGGAAGCAAACGUCUCUGUUGGAAGUACUGAAGCCUGCUUCUGUUCAAGUACUCUACUUUCGAAAAGAUGAGUUCACAGACAAUGCUAUUGAGGUUGUGCCAUCUUCAUGGCUUGGACACACUUCUGAGCAUGGCAUGGUCUGCUACUGGACGACACACAAUGUGCGAUUGCAUGUUGUGAAGUGCCGAGCACCAAAUACAACUUGGGCCAAACAUCCCGUUAAGAAAACCUGGUACGAAACAGAUUCAUACGCCAAAGCUGAACAGAAGUGUUUGCAAUUGAUGGAGUCCUCAAGUGUUGAGACAGAGGAUGAUGUGAACACUUUUGCAAUAAGGCAGCGUAAGCGCCCAAGGAGGUUUGUCUCCGAAUCCUCUGAUGAUGAUGAUUCUGCUCCAGUGGUAGCAGCAACCAAGAAGCAACCCAAGACUCUGACUGUGCCUGGAAGCCCUGUGUGUCAGCAGGACCCAAUGCCACUACCACCACAAUAGUCAACACCAGCCGGGACUGGAGCCAGUCCUCACCACCCUAGCCCAAGUCCUGUUGACCCUGUUCAAGCCAGCAGCCGGGCACUACACCCAAUUCAGUCAGCCAGGCACCUCCAAGAAUCACUGGAAACCUCUUUUGACUCUGUUCAAGCCAGCAGCCGGGCGCUUCAUGACGGACAGGGUGUCUCGGCUAUCACAGCCAUGUUUGAGAGAAUCACAGAGGCCCACAUGAGUCGCUUGAUGCGGAGGCUCGAGGCUAGGUUUGA